rnacentral:rRNA from 1 species
UGGGGAAUCUUGCACAAUGGGCGCAAGCCUGAUGCAGCAACGCCGCGUGCGGGAAGACGGCCCUAGGGUUGUAAACCGCUUUCAGGAGGGAAGAAAUGACGGUACCUCCAGAAGAAGGUGCGGCCAACUACGUGCCAGCAGCCGCGUGACACGUAGGCACCAAGCGUUAUCCGGAUUUAUUGGGCGUAAAGAGCUCGUAGGCGGUUCGGUAAGUCGGGUGUGAAAUCCAAGGCUCAACCUUGGACGCACCCGAUACUGCUGUGACUCGAGUGCAGUAGGGGAGCAGGGAAUUCCUGGUGUAGCGGUGAAAUGCGCAGAUAUCAGGAGGAACACCAGUGGCGAAGGCGCUGCUCUGGGCUGUAACUGACGCUGAGGAGCGAAAGCAUGGGUAGC